rnacentral:rRNA from 1 species
UACGUAGGGGGCAAGCGUUGUCCGGAUUUAUUGGGCGUAAAGAGCGUGUAGGCGGCCUUACAGGUCAGCUGUGAAACUCGAGGCUCAACCUCGAGACGUCGGUUGAAACCGUAAGGCUAGAGUCCGGAAGAGGAGAGUGGAAUUCCCGGUGUAGCGGUGAAAUGCGCAGAUAUCGGGAAGAACACCCGUGGCGAAGGCGGCUCUCUGGGACGGUACUGACGCUGAGACGCGAAAGCGUGGGGAGCGAACAGG